rnacentral:piRNA from 1 species
UCCAGAAAAAUUAAAAUGUUU